GUAGUAUUCCCUCCGUCCCAAAAUUCUUGUCUUACAUUUGUUUAGAUACGGAUGUAUCUAACACUAAAAUGUAACUAGAUACAUCCGUAUUUAGACAAAUUUAAGACAAGAAUUUUGGGAUGGAGGGAGUACAGA
rnacentral:pre_miRNA from 1 species